rnacentral:rRNA from 1 species
AAGGAACUCGGCAAAAUGCCCCCGUAACUUCGGGAGAAGGGGGGCCGGAUACGUUACACCCUUCUCGGGUGGAAGCGUUGAUGGCCGCAGAGACCAGGCCCAAGCGACUGUUUACUAAAAACACAGGUCCGUGCGAAGAAGUAAUUCGAUGUAUACGGACUGACGCCUGCCCGGUGCUGGAACGUUAAGGGGACAGGUUAGCUGGUUUAGGCCGGCGAAGCUUUGAACUUAAGCGCCAGUAAACGGCGGUGGUAACUAUAACCAUCCUAAGGUAGCGAAAUUCCUUGUCGGGUAAGUUCCGACCUGCACGAAUGGCGUAACGACUUGGGCGCUGUCUCAACCGUGGACUCGGCGAAAUUGCAUUACGAGUAAAGAUGCUCGUUACGCGCAGCAGGACGGAAAGACCCAGGGACCUUUACUACAACUUGGUAUUGGUGGUCGGUACAACUUGUGUAGGAUAGGUGGGAGACUUUGAAGCUCGGACGCCAGUUCGGGUGGAGUCAUCGUCGAAAUACCACUCUGGUUGUUCUGGCUGUCUAACUUAGGUCCAUUAUCUGGAUCAGGGACAGUGCCUGGUGGGUAGUUUGACUGGGGCGGUCGCCUCCUAAAAGGUAACGGAGGCGCUCAAAGGUUCCCUCAGCCUGGUUGGCAAUCAGGUGUCGAGUGUAAGUGCACAAGGGAGCUUGACUGUGAGACAGACAUGUCGAGCAGGGACGAAAGUCGGAACUAGUGGUCCGGCGGUGGCAUGUGGGAGCACCGUCGCUCAACGGAUAAAAGGUACCCCGGGGAUAACAGGCUGAUCUUCCCCAAGAGUCCAUAUCGACGGGAUGGUUUGGCACCUCGAUGUCGGCUCGUCGCAUCCUGGGGCUGGAGUAGGUCCCAAGGGUUGGGCUGUUCGCCCAUUAAAGCGGCACGCGAGCUGGGUUUAGAACGUCGUGAGACAGUUCGGUCCCUAUCCGCUGCGCGCGCGGGAGAAUUGAGAAGGGCUGCCCCUAGUACGAGAGGACCGGGGUGGACGAACCUCUGGUGUGCCAGUUGUUCCGCCAGGAGCACGGCUGGUUGGCUACGUUCGGAAGUGAUAACCGCUGAAAGCAUCUAAGCGGGAAGCACGCUUCAAGAUGAGUUCUCCCACCGGGUUAACCGGGUAAGGCCCCCAGUAGACCACUGGGUUGAUAGGCCAGAGGUGGAAGCACCGUAAGGUGUGGAGCUGACUGGUACUAAUAGGCCGAGGGCUUGUCUCU